AGUUCCAUGAACUCUUUGGAAGGUGUUCAAAACUAACACAGCAGCGCUCCGGUCACGUCGAGCCAGUCAUUCGCUGGGCUCAGUGGUGCAGGAUCGUCUCUUCUGAGGGCUGAGAGCUGAUAAGUGUGAAGCGUACGGUUUCCACUUCACCAGGCCACAAGAAUCUCUACCAACACCAACUUCUGCAGUACUGGCAUCUGCUUAUCAAAUAGUGGUGCCUUAUCACGAAUGACGUACUCCAUUGCAAUUAGGGAGUCAAGUUUCAUGAGGAAGAGAGGCCGGGCGUCACUACAUUCCAGCCUGAGUGGUGUUGAGAAGUACCGUCACAAGCAGAGGGCCUGGUACAAGAGUUUUCAUUGCAGUUAAGGAAGCCAAGUUGCAGCAAGAAGAAUGCAGCUAUCCAACAUCUGAACAAUAUAUGAGUAUGGCAAAUGCUGUUUUUACAUAAUUUCCUGCCAUCCUGAGAAAUAGUGACCUAGAGGAGCAUGAAUUGCAGCUGCAAUGAAAAUUGUGCAUUCAGUGCAAGUUUCAGAAUUUAAGGAAGAGGCAGGAUUCCUCAUUGACUGAAGUGACAUCAAGGAAAAAGA